rnacentral:rRNA from 1 species
UACGUAGGGGGCGAGCGUUGUCCGGAAUCAUUGGGCGUAAAGCGCGCGUAGGCGGUCCGGUAAGUCCGCUGUGAAAGUCGGGGGCUCAACCCUCGGAUGCCGGUGGAUACUGUCGGGCUAGAGCACGGAAGAGGCGAGUGGAAUUCCCGGUGUAGCGGUGAAAUGCGCAGAUAUCGGGAGGAACACCUAUUGCGAAGGCAGCUCGCUGGGACGUUACUGACGCUGAGACGCGAAAGCGUGGGGAGCAAACAGG